rnacentral:misc_RNA from 1 species
UCCGAGUUGACCCCGGCAGUCUCCUGCGAGUCCCCGCCAUUACGCGCUGGCAACACAGGACAAGGGUUGCGCUCGUUGCGGGACUUAACCCAACAUCUCACGACACGAGCUGACGACAACCAUGCACCACCUGUAUACGGCCCCGAAGGACACUGCAUCUCUGCAGCUUUUCUGUAUAUUUCAAGCCCUGGUAAGGUUCUUCGCGUUGCGUCGAAUUAAGCCACAUGCUCCACCGCUUGUGCGGGCCCCCGUCAAUUCCUUUGAGUUUCAGUCUUGCGACCGUACUCCCCAGGCGGAGUGCUUAAUGCGUUAGCUUCGCCACAAAAGGGGUCGAUUCCUUUUACAGUAAACGUGCACAGUUUACGGCUAGGACUAC